UUGCCGGGAAGGGGAGAAAGAAAGGCGGAAGGGGUCGUUAAUAGCUGAGGCGAGGUGCGGGGUCGUGGAGGGGACUUAGGAAUUGACCAGCGGGAGUUUCCAGGUGUCUAGGAAAAUGCCAGAAGAACUCACCAGGUGCUGGGAAGCAUCCCUUUUCUGGAAAGUCCUUUUACUUGGAUCUACCUGCUGGCAAGAAUCUCCAGUUUUUGACAGGGGCCAUUCAGCAACUGGGUGGGGUAAUUGAGGGUUUUCUGAGCAAAGAAGUAAGUUACAUCGUGUCCAGCCGCAGAGAAGUAAAGGCAGAGAGCAGUGGGACAAGACACAGAGGCUGCCCUAGCCCCAGUGAGGUCAGAGUGGAAACAUCGGCCAUGGUUGAUCCAAAAGGCAGCCACCCCAGGCCUUCACAGAAACCCAUUGACUCGGUGCCUCUAAGCAGAGGGAAGGAGCUGCUGCAGAAGGCCAUCAGAAACCAGGUGAGCUGGGGCAAGAUGGCACAGAGCGGGUGGUCUCCAGCACAGGGAGGGAUUUCACCCUUCUUCCCAGGUUCUUCUGAAGCACCCACACAAAAUGCACACUCUGCGAUGUGUAGUAUUGUCAUUAUUUCCUUCUUCUACAUCA
rnacentral:sRNA from 1 species